GAAGACUUUGAAGAUGCUCCUAACUGGAUGAUGUGAGGCUUGUACAUUUGGUGGUUCAUACGAUGCGACAUAGGAACGGAACAAAAGAGCUCUGGUCCGCUACAGCAAAGCAGUAUGCACACAUCCGGAAGAUCAGGCUUGGCGGUCAACCAUUGCCGCCUCCUGGCUGAGCCUGCUGCAUCUUCUUUUUCUUGUAAUCGUUCAGCGCUGCUUUGAUGGCGUCCUCAGCAAGCACUGUAAAUUGAGAAUACAUCUGGUGAGAUAAGUGAGCCGUAUUUGUCAUAACCCUUCGGUGAGUUUCACACUUAAACCCACCCUUUUCCCACUUUCCUGGUGGAUGCAGACGAGUUAAGCUAGAUCUUGAAACCCCUAUAAUGAGCUUCUUCAAACGUUGCCUUAGUGUUCAUUCUGAACCGAGUCCACUGAAUAUUAUACAAAAGAGGUGUCUUCUUUUCAGUUGAUCAGAAUAAAGAGAAAAGGAACGAUUUCCAGCUCUUCUACAAGGUGUUUUGUUCACAUUGAACCCAUCCUUACCAUUCACAUAGUUCUAUGAAUGGCAAUAAAUAUGCUUAGUCAAGCCA